AACAUACGGCUCUCUGCUCCUCCUGUUCGUCAGACAGCCGCAUCUUGUCUUCCAUCGCCAGCCACAUCCCUGAGACACCAUGGGGAAGGUGAAGGUCGGAGAUAAUGGAUUUGGUCAUAUUGGGCGCCUGGUCACCAGGGCUGCUUUUAACUCUGGUAAAGUGGAUAUUGUCACCAUCAAUGAUCCCUUCAUUGACCUCAACUACAUGGUCUACAUGUUCCAGUAUGAUUCCACCCAUGGCAAAUUCCAUGGCACUGGAAUUUGAGAGAAUUGAGAGAAUUUGAGAGAAUUGAGAAUUGGAAGCUUGUCAUGAAUGGAAAUCCCAAUACCAUCUUCCAGGAGUGAGAUCCCUCCAAAAUCAAGUGGGGCGAUGCUGAUGCUGAGUACGUGGUGGAGUCCACUGGCGUCUUCACCAACAUGGAGAAGGCUGGGGCUCACUUGCAGGGGGGAGCCAAAAGGGUCAUCAUAUCUGCCCCUUCUGCUGAUGCCCCCAUGUUCAUGAUGGGCGUGAACCAUGAGAGGUAUGACAACACCCUCAAGAUCGUCAGCAAUGCCUCCUGCACCACCAACUGCUUAGCGCCCCUGACCAAGGUCAUCCAUGACAACUUUGGUAACGUGGAAGGACUCAUGACCACUGUCCACGCCAUCACUGCCACCCAGAAGACCGUGGAUGGACCCUCCAGGAAACUGUGGCGUGAUGGCCGUGGGGCUCUCCAGAACAUCAUCCCUGCCUCUACUGGAGCUGCCAAGGCCAUGGGCAAGGUCAUCCCCGAGCUGAACGGGAAGCUCACUGGCAUGGCCUUCCGUGUCCCCACUGCCAACGUGUCAGUGGUGGACCUGACCUGCCGUCUGGAAAAACCUGCCAAAUAUGAUGACAUCAAGAAGGUGGUGAAGCAGGCAUCGGAGGGCCCCCUCAAGGGCAUCCUGGGAUAUACUGAGCACCAGGUGGUGUCCUCUGACUUCAACAGCGACACCCAUUCUUCUACCUUCGAUGCUGGGGCUGGCAUUGCCCUCAACGACCACUUCGUCAAGCUCAUUUCCUGGUAUGAAAAUGAAUUUGGCUACAGCAACAGGGUGGUGGACCUCAUGUCCCACAUGGCCUCCAAGGAGUAAGACCCCUGGACCACCAGCCCCAGCAAGAGCAUGAAAGGAAGAGAGGCCCUCACUGCUGGGGAGUCCCUGCCACAGAGUCCCCCACCACACUGAAUUGCCCCUCCUCACAGUUUCCAUGCAGACCCCUUGAAGAGGGAGAGGCCUAGGGAACCCCACCUUGUCGUGUACCAUCAAUAAAGUCCCCUGUGCUCAGCCAA